CUAUACCGUGAGGCCAAACUUGGCAU
rnacentral:siRNA from 1 species